GGAGAGAUGGCAGAGUGGUUGAUUGCAACAAUCUCGAAAAUUGUCAUAACUUUAGUUAUCGAGGUUCGAAUCCCUCUCUCUCCG
rnacentral:tRNA from 1 species